rnacentral:rRNA from 1 species
UACGUAGGGGCCGAGCGUUGUCCGGAGUUACUGGGCGUAAAGCGCGCGCAGGCGGCUCGUCAAGCCUGACGUGAAAGCCCCCGGCUCAACCGGGGAGGGUCGUCGGGGACUGGCGAGCUUGAGGACGGCAGGGGCUGGUGGAAGUCCCGGUGUAGUGGUGAAAUGCGUAGAGAUCGGGAGGAACACCCGUGGCGAAGGCGGCCAGCUGGGCCGGACCUGACGCUGAGGCGCGAAGGCGUGGGGAGCGAACGGG